rnacentral:tRNA from 1 species
GAGGGUAUAGCUCAAGUGGCAGAGUGCGUGCUUAGCAUGCACAGGGUCCUGGGUUCAAUCCCCAGCACCUCCU